rnacentral:rRNA from 1 species
GACGAACGCUGGCGGCGUGCUUAACACAUGCAAGUCGAACGGAAAGGCCCUGCUUUUGUGGGGUGCUCGAGUGGCGAACAGGUGAGUAACACGUGAGUAACCUGCCCUUGACUUUGGGAUAACUUCAGGAAACUGGGGCUAAUACCGGAUAGGAGCUCCUGCUGCAUGGUGGGGGUUGGAAAGUUUCGGCGGUUGGGGAUGGGCUCGCGGCUUAUCAGCUUGUUGGUGGGGUAGUGGCUUACCAAGGCUUUGACGGGUAGCCGGCCUGAGAGGGUGACCGGCCACAUUGGGACUGAGAUACGGCCCAGACUCCUACGGGAGGCAGCAGUGGGGAAUAUUGCACAAUGGGCGGAAGCCUGAUGCAGCAACGCCGCGUGCGGGAUGACGGCCUUCGGGUUGUAAACCGCUUUCGCCUGUGACGAAGCGUGAGUGACGGUAAUGGGUAAAGAAGCACCGGCUAACUACGUG